rnacentral:misc_RNA from 1 species
GAUGAAGAACGUAGCGAAAUGCGAUACGUAAUGUGAAUUGCAAAUUCAGUGAAUCAUCGAGUCUUUGAACGCACAUUGCGCCCCCUGGUAUUCCGGGGGGCAUGCCUGUCCGAGCGUCAUUGCUGCCCUCAAGCCCGGCUUGUGUGUUGGGCCCCGUCCUCCGAUUCCGGGGGACGGGCCCGAAAGGCAGCGGCGGCACCGCGCCCGGUCCUCGAGCGUAUGGGGCUUUGUCACCCGCUCUGUAGGCCCGGCCGGCGCUUGCCGAUCAACCCAAAUUUUUAUCCAGGUUGACCUCGGAUCAGGUAGGGAUACCCGCUGAACUUAAGCAUAUCAAUAAGCGGAGGA